rnacentral:rRNA from 1 species
GACGAACGCUGGCGGCGUGCCUAAUACAUGCAAGUAGAACGCUGAAGGAAGGAGCUUGCUCUUUCUGGAUGAGUUGCGAACGGGUGAGUAACGCGUAGGUAACCUGCCUGGUAGCGGGGGAUAACUAUUGGAAACGAUAGCUAAUACCGCAUAAAAUUGAUUAUUGCAUGAUAGUCAAUUAAAAGGUGCAACUGCACCACUACCAGAUGGACCUGCGUUGUAUUAGCUAGUUGGUGGGGUAACGGCUCACCAAGGCGACGAUACAUAGCCGACCUGAGAGGGUGAUCGGCCACACUGGGACUGAGACACGGCCCAGACUCCUACGGGAGGCAGCAGUAGGGAAUCUUCGGCAAUGGACGGAAGUCUGACCGAGCAACGCCGCGGGAGUGAAGAAGGUUUUCGGAUCGUAAAGCUCGGUUGUAAGAGAAGAACGAGUGUGAGAGUGGAAAGUUCACACUGUGACGGUAUCUUACCAGAAAGGGACGGCUAACUACGUG